AUUGAACGCUGGCGGCAUGCCUUACACAUGCAAGUCGAACGGUAACAGGUCUUCGGAUGCUGACGAGUGGCGAACGGGUGAGUAAUACAUCGGAACGUGCCUAGUAGUGGGGGAUAACUACUCGAAAGAGUGGCUAAUACCGCAUGAGAUCUACGGAUGAAAGCAGGGAAUCGCAAGACCUUGUGCUACUAGAGCGGCCGAUGGCAGAUUAGGUAGUUGGUGGGAUAAAAGCUUACCAAGCCGACGAUCUGCAGCUGGUCUGAGAGGACGAUCAGGCACACUGGGACUGAGACACGGCCCAGACUCCUACGGGAGGCAGCAGUGGGGAAUUUUGGACAAUGGGCGCAAGCCUGAUCCAGCAAUGCCGCGUGCAGGAUGAAGGCCUUCGGGUUGUAAACUGCUUUUGUACGGAACGAAAAGCCCCGGGUUAAUACCCUGGGGUCAUGACGGUACCGUAAGAAUAAGCACCGGCUAACUACGUGCCAGCAGCCGCCGUAA
rnacentral:rRNA from 1 species